rnacentral:rRNA from 1 species
GACGAACGCUGGCGGCGGGCUUAACACAUGCAAGUCGAACGGAAAGGCCCUGCUUUUGUGGGGUGCUCGAGUGGCGAACGGGUGAGUAACACGUGAGUAACCUGCCCUUGUCUUUGGGAUAACUUCAGGAAACUGGGGCUAAUACCGGAUAGGAUCUCCUGCUGCAUGGUGGGGGUUGGAUAGUUUCGGCGGUUGGGGAUGGACUCGCGGCUUAUCAGCUUGUUGGUGGGGUGGUGGCUUACCAAGGCUUUGACGGGUAGCCGGCCGGGGAGGGUGACCGGCGACAUUGGGACUGAGAUACGGCACAGACGCGUACGGGAGGCAGCAGUGGGGAAGAUUGAACAAGGGGCGGAAGCCUGAUGAAGAAAGGCCGCGUGCGGGAUGACGGCCUUCGGGUUGUAAACAGGUUGCGCCUGUGACGAAGGGUGAGUGACGGUAAUGGGUAAAGAAGCACCGGCUAACUACGUG